rnacentral:rRNA from 1 species
AGGACGAACGCUGGCGGCGUGCUUAACACAUGCAAGUCGAGCGGAAAGGCCCUUCGGGGUACUCGAGCGGCGAACGGGUGAGUAACACGUGAGCAAUCUGCCCUUAGCUUCGGGAUAGCCCCGGGAAACCGGGAUUAAUACCGAAUAUGACCUCGGCCGACAUCGGCUUUGGUGGAAAGUUUUUCGGCUAGGGAUGAACUCGCGGCCUAUCAGCUUGUUGGUGGGGUAAUGGCCUACCAAGGCGACGACGGGUAGCCGGCCUGAGAGGGCGACCGGGCCACGACUGGGACUGAGACACGGCCCAGACUCCUACGGGGGGCAGCAGUGAGGAAUUUCCGCAAUGGGCGCAAGCCUGACGGAGCAACGCCGCGUGCAGGAAGACGGUUUUCGGAUCGUAAACUGCUUUUCUCGGGACGAGAACGGACGGUACCCGAGGAAUCAGCCCCGGCUAACUACGUGCCAGCAGCCGC